GAUGAGCAUACUCAACGCCUUCCGCUCCAUCUUCAUCCAUGCUACAUCUAUGACCUUCGCCGGUUUUGCCUCCUUUCCGUUCAACGUUUCAUCUAAAUCUUAUUGUACGAGGAUAGCCCAUACUUUAAUCUGCCACAAUCCGAAAUUGUUCUUGCCAUCGACUUCUCGAUUUCGAAUUUCGUUUUCAUCUUCGUCGAUCUCUCCCGCAGAUCAGUAACCUUAAGCUCUGAUACCAAUUGUUGAGAAUCCGGUACUCG
rnacentral:lncRNA from 1 species